GCUAGAGAUACUAAACGCCUAAAAACUGCAUCUUUCAUUUUUCCUUUUUUACAUGAAGCCAUAACUAAACUAUCUCUAUAACACACACAAAAAGAAACAACCCUAUCAAGAACAGGAAAUGAAUCCAACUUGUUAAAAGCUAAAAAAGCUAUCACCAAAGAACUGACAUUAAAACAGUAGCUUACAGAUCAAAAAGGAGAAUCAAGAAUCUUCAAAGUUGGAUUUUUUAGCACACCCAAUGAAGAGAUUUACAACCCCAACAGUACUGAACUUGAAGAAUUUCAGACGUAGUG
rnacentral:misc_RNA from 1 species